rnacentral:rRNA from 1 species
UGGCGGACGGGUGAGUAACGCGUGGAGAACCUGCCGUAUACUGGGGGAUAACACUUAGAAAUAGGUGCUAAUACCGCAUAAGCGCACAGCUUCGCAUGAAGCAGUGUGAAAAACUCCGGUGGUAUACGAUGGAUCCGCGUCUGAUUAGCUGGUUGGCGGGGUAAAGGCCCACCAAGGCGACGAUCAGUAGCCGGCCUGAGAGGGUGAACGGCCACAUUGGGACUGAGACACGGCCCAAACUCCUACGGAAGGCAGCAG